rnacentral:tRNA from 2 species
GACCCGUUAGCUCAGUAGGUAGAGCACUUGGCUUUUAACCAAGGUGUCCGGAGUUCGAGCCUCCGACGGGUCACCA